UGAAGCUGUUACACAGCACAUUUACUGGUUGUUCACAAUAUUUUCCAAGUGUAACACAAUAGUGAAAGCAUGGAAUUGACCUUGUAAAUAAUCUGCUAGGUAUCCCAUAAUUGUAUUUUUGUAACACUAGUUGCAUAGAAUGUGGGAAUCCAACAGCUUACAGAUUAGCAAUUCUGUAAAUAAUGGAGAGGAAAACAAUGUAUAAUAAAUUGCUUGAUGAACUACUUGCCACAGUUCAACUGGUUUGGUUUCAAAUGAUGAUACUUUUUCUUUUAACCUUAAUUGCCAAACAGUUAAUACAACCAAAUGCCUCGGAUUCUUCAGAACAAUAGCUUUAGUUCAAUUAACAUUUAGAAAUCUCAUAUUUGGUUAUGGCA
rnacentral:misc_RNA from 1 species